UAGAAGUAGCUAAAGAAGAAGAAGAAGAGAUAGUUGCAGGAAAAGAAGAAGCAGCAGAAGUAGUGAAAGCAGACGUUGAGGAAACUCAGGAAUAUGACCCUCACACUAUAUAUGGAAGUAGUUUUGUGCUUCCAGUUUCUGGUUUCCUGUGUCGCUUGUGUAACAAGUUCUUCUUCAGUGAGACGACAGCACGACACACACACUGCAGGACACACACACACUUCCUCAACCUGAAGAGCGUCACAGGUGAGGACACCCCCUCCUGAUGAAUGCACCUGUGUCUCCAGGUGAUGACAUCAUCCUGCUGUUUGUACAUUCAAUGUAUUUUCUAUCCUGAGAUAAAUAAAUGUAAAAAAAUAAA